UCCCAGACUCCUACGGGAGGCAGCAGUGGGGAAUAUUGCACAAUGGGGGGAACCCUGAUGCAGCGACGCCGCGUGAGGGAAGAAGGUUUUCGGAUUGUAAACCUCUGUCCUCUGUGACGAUAAUGACGGUAGCAGAGGAGGAAGCCCCGGCUAACUACGUGCCAGCAGCCGCGGUAAUACGUAGGGGGCAAGCGUUAUCCGGAUUUACUGGGUGUAAAGGGAGCGUAGACGGCUGUGCAAGCCAGAUGUGAAAGCCCGGGGCUCAACCCCGGGACUGCAUUUGGAACUGUGUAGCUGGAGUGUCGGAGAGGCAGGCGGAAUUCCUAGUGUAGCGGUGAAAUGCGUAGAUAUUAGGAGGAACACCAGUGGCGAAGGCGGCCUGCUGGACGAUGACUGACGUUGAGGCUCGAAAGCGUGGGGAGCAAACAGGAUUAGAUACCCUAGUAC
rnacentral:rRNA from 1 species